CCUACGGGAGGCUGCAGUGGGGAAUAUUGCACAAUGGGGGAAACCCUGAUGCAGCGACGCCGCGUGAGUGAAGAAGUAUCUCGGUACGUAAAGCUCUAUCAGCAGGGAAUAAAAUGACGGGACCUGACUAAGAAGCCACGGCUAACUACGUCCCAUCAGCCCCGGGAAUACGUAGCGGGCAAGCGUUAUCCGGAUUUACUGGGUGUCAAGUGAGCGUAGACGGCAGCACAAGUCUGGAGUGAAAUCCCGGGGCUUAACCCCGGAACUGCUUUGGAAACUGUGCGGCUGGAGUGCAGGAGGGGUAAGCGGAAUUCCUAGUGUAGCGGUGAACUGCGUAGAUAUUAGGAGGAACACCGGUGGCGAAGGCGGCUUACUGGACUGUAACUGACGUUGAGGCUCGAAAGCGUGGGGAGCAAACAGGAUUAGAUACCCUUGUAGUC
rnacentral:rRNA from 1 species